AGCUCAAAAAGCUGAUUUCAGAUCUUCCUUGUGAGGUACUUCAGAAAGUAUUGGCCGAGGUGCGUGGAAUUUUAUGAAAUGAUUUCCUAGGCAUCAACAAAAGGACUUGUGCAAUGGUGAUGCCAAUGAUGCACAAUGAGGAGAUGGUUGGGCCUUGUGGCGUGCUUAUGGCAGCAGCUCCCCUUGCCAGCAAACUCGCCAUCUCUUUCCCUAGGUAUACCAGCUUUGGCCAUCUUUUUCAAUGUA